ACAUGCAAGUCGAGCGAGAUGUUAGCGCAUGAACCUUCGGGGGAUUAUGCUAACGGACAGCGGCGGACGGGUGAGUAACGCGUAGGCAACCUGCCCCUGACAGAGGGAUAGCCAUUGGAAACGAUGAUUAAAACCUCAUGACACCGUAGAAGCACAUGCUUCAUCGGUCAAAGAUUUAUCGGUCAGGGAUGGGCCUGCGUCUGAUUAACUAGUUGGUGAGGUAACGGCUCACCAAGGUGACGAUCAGUAGCCGACCUGAGAGGGUGAUCGGCCACAUUGGAACUGAGACACGGUCCAAACUUCUACGGAAGGCAGCAGCAGGGAAUCUUGCACAAUGGGCGAAAGCCUGAUGCAGCAACGCCGCGUGAAGGAUGAAGGCCUUCGGGUUGUAAACUUCUGUUCUAAGGGAAGAAACAAAUGACGGUACCUUAGGAGCAAGCCCCGGCUAACUACGUGCCAGCAGCCGCGGUAAUACGUAGGGGGCAAGCGUUAUCCGGAAUUAUUGGGCGUAAAGAGUGCGUAGGUGGUUACCUAAGCGCAAGGUUUAAUUUAGAGGCUCAACCUCUACUUGCCUUGCGAACUGGGCUACUUGAGUGCAGGAGGGGAAAGCGGAAUUCCUAGUGUAGCGGUGAAAUGCGUAGAUAUUAGGAGGAACACCAGCGGCGAAGGCGGCUUUCUGGACUGUAACUGACACUGAGGCACGAAAGCGUGGGUAGCAAACAGGAUUAGAUACCCUGGUAGUCCACGCCGUAAACGAUGAGCACUAGGUGUUGGGCCCGUUAGGGCUCAGUGCCGCAGUUAACGCAAUAAGUGCUC
rnacentral:rRNA from 1 species